UACGAAGGGUGCAAGCGUUAAUCGGAAUUACUGGGCGUAAAGGGUGCGUAGGCGGUUUGUUAAGUCUGUUGUGAAAUCCCCGGGCUCAACCGGGGAGGGCCCCAGGAAACCGGCGGGCUAGAGGGCUGGAGAGGGCCGCGGAAUUCCCGGUGUAGCGGUGAAAUGCGUAGAUAUCGGGAAGAACACCAGUGGCGAAGGCGGCGGCCUGGACAGAACCUGACGCUGAGGCACGAAAGCUGGGGGAGCGAACAGG
rnacentral:rRNA from 1 species